UGGGGAAUCUUGCACAAUGGGGGCAACCCUGAUGCAGCGACGCCGCGUGAGCGAUGAAGCCCUUCGGGGCGUAAAGCUCUUUCGACCGGAACGAUAAUGACGGUACCGGGGGAAGAAGCUGCGGCUAACUACGUGCCAGCAGCCGCGGUAAUACGUAGGCAGCAAGCGUUGUUCGGAGUUACUGGGCGUAAAGAGUGCGUAGGCGGUUUUCUAAGUUCGGUGUGAAAUCUCCCGGCUUAACUGGGAGGGUGCGCCGAAGACUGGGAAGCUGUAGUGUGGGAAAGGCAGGCGGAAUUCCUGGUGUAGCGGUGAAACGCGUAGAUAUCAGGAGGCACACCGGCGGUGUAGACGGCUUGCUAGACCAUAACUGACGCUGAGGCACGAAAGCGUGGGUAGCAAACA
rnacentral:rRNA from 1 species